AAACAGGAUUUUACUUGAAAAAUUAGAGUGCUCCAGGCAGGCCUAUGCUCGAAUACAUUAGCAUGGAAUAAUAAAAUAGGACGUGCGGUUCUAUUUUGUUGGUUUCUAGGACCGCCGUAAUGAUUAAUAGGGACAGUCGGGGGCAUCAGUAUUCAAUUGUCAGAGGUGAAAUUCUUGGAUUUAUUGAAGACUAAUUCUGCGAAAGCAUUUGCCAAGGAUGUUUUCAUUAAUCAGGAACGAAAGUUAGGGGAUCGAAGACGAUCAGAUACCGUCGUAGUCUUAACCGUAAACGAUGCCGACUAGGGAUCGGACGGUGUUAU
rnacentral:rRNA from 1 species